rnacentral:rRNA from 1 species
ACGAACGCUGGCGGCGUGCUUAACACAUGCCAGUCGAACGGAAAGGCCCUGCUUUUGUGGGGUGCUCGAGUGGCGAACGGGUGAGUAACACGUGAGUAACCUGCCCUUGACUUUGGGAUAACUUCAGGAAACUGGGGCUAAUACCGGAUAGGAGCUCCUGCUGCAUGGUGGGGGUUGGAAAGUUUCGGCGGUUGGGGAUGGACUCGCGGCUUAUCAGCUUGUUGGUGGGGUAGUGGCUUACCAAGGCUUUGACGGGUAGCCGGCCUGAGAGGGUGACCGGCCACAUUGGGACUGUGAUACGGCCCAGACUCCUACGGGAGGCAGCAGUGGGGAAUAUUGCACAAUGGGCGGAAGCCUGAUGCAGCAACGCCGCGUGCGGGAUGACGGCCUUCGGGUUGUAAACCGCUUUCGCCUGUGACGAAGCGUGAGUGACGGUAAUGGGUAAAGAAGCACCGGCUAACUACGUG